rnacentral:rRNA from 1 species
UCCUACGGGGCGCAGCAGUGGGGGAUAUUGCACAAUGGGGGGAACCCUGAUGCAGCGACGCCGCGUGGGUGAAGAAGCGCCUCGGCGCGUAAAGCCCUGUCAGCAGGGAAGAAAAUGACGGUACCUGAAGAAGAAGCCCCGGCUAACUACGUGCCAGCAGCCGCGGUAAUACGUAGGGGGCAAGCGUUAUCCGGAUUUACUGGGUGUAAAGGGUGCGUAGGCGGAAUGCCAAGUCAGCGGUAAAAUCGCGGGGCUCAACCUCGCUCCGCCGU